AAUCCAUAGGUUAAUGAGGCGAACCGGGGGAACUGAAACAUCUAAGUACCCCGAGGAAAAGAAAUCAACCGAGAUUCCCCCAGUAGCGGCGAGCGAACGGGGAGGAGCCCAGAGCCUGAAUCAGCAUGUGUGUUAGUGGAAGCGUCUGGAAAGGCGCGCGAUACAGGGUGACAGCCCCGUACACAAAAGCGCAUGUGCUGUGAGCUCGAUGAGUAGGGCGGGACACGUGGUAUCCUGUCUGAAUAUGGGGGGACCAUCCUCCAAGGCUAAAUACUCCUGACUGACCGAUAGUGAACCAGUACCGUGAGGGAAAGGCGAAAAGAACCCCGGCGAGGGGAGUGAAAAAGAACCUGAAACCGUGUACGUACAAGCAGUGGGAGCACAGGUUUACCUGUGUGACUGCGUACCUUUUGUAUAAUGGGUCAGCGACUUAUAUUCUGUAGCAAGGUUAACCGAAUAGGGGAGCCGGAGGGAAACCGAGUCUUAAUUGGGCGUUAAGUUGCAGGGUAUAGACCCGAAACCCGGUGAUCUAGCCAUGGGCAGGUUGAAGGUUGGGUAACACUAACUGGAGGACCGAACCGACUAAUGUUGAAAAAUUAGCGGAUGACCUGUGGCUGGGGGUGAAAGGCCAAUCAAACCGGGAGAUAGCUGGUUCUCCCCGAAAGCUAUUUAGGUAGCGCCUCGUGAAUUCAUCUCCGGGGGUAGAGCACUGUUUCGGCUAGGGGGCCAUCCCGGCUUACCAACCCGAUGCAAACUGCGAAUACCGGAGAAUGUUAUCACGGGAGACACACGGCGGGUGCUAACGUCCGUCGUGAAGAGGGAAACAACCCAGACCGCCAGCUAAGGUCCCAAAGUCAUGGUUAAGUGGGAAACGAUGUGGGAAGGCCCAGACAGCCAGGAUGUUGGCUUAGAAGCAGCCAUCAUUUAAAGAAAGCGUAAUAGCUCACUGGUCGAGUCGGCCUGCGCGGAAGAUGUAACGGGGCUAAACCAUGCACCGAAGCUGCGGCAGCGACACUGUGUGUUGUUGGGUAGGGGAGCGUUCUGUAAGCCUGUGAAGGUGGCCUGUGAGGGUUGCUGGAGGUAUCAGAAGUGCGAAUGCUGACAUAAGUAACGAUAAAGCGGGUGAAAAGCCCGCUCGCCGGAAGACCAAGGGUUCCUGUCCAACGUUAAUCGGGGCAGGGUGAGUCGACCCCUAAGGCGAGGCCGAAAGGCGUAGUCGAUGGGAAACAGGUUAAUAUUCCU
rnacentral:rRNA from 1 species